rnacentral:rRNA from 1 species
GUUAAGAAUCUUGCGCAAUGGGCGAAAGCCUGACGCAGCGACGCCGCGUGGACGAUGAAGGCCUUCGGGUUGUAAAGUCCGAUAAGCAGGGAAGAAUAAGCGCCGGGAAAUAUUCGGCGUGAUGACGGUACCUGUCUAAAGCCCCGGCUAACUACGUGCCAGCAGCCGCGGUAAUACGUAUGGGGCGAGCGUUGUUCGGAAUUAUUGGGCGUAAAGGGCGUUUAGGCGGGGAAUUAAGUUAGGUGUGAAAUCCAUGGGCUCAACCCGUGAAUUGCAUUUAAAACUGAUUCUCUUGAGUUCGGGAGAGGAGAGCGGAAUUCCAGGUGUAGCGGUGAAAUGCGUAGAUAUCUGGAAGAACACCAGUGGCGAAGGCGGCUCUCUGGCCUAGAACUGACGCUGAAGCGCGAAAGCGUGGGGAGCGAACAGGAUUAGAAACCCGGGUAGUCC